UACGUAGGGGGCAAGCGUUGUCCGGAAUCAUUGGGCGUAAAAGCGCGCGUAGGUGGCCCUGUAAGUCCGUUGUGAAAGUCAAAGGCUCAACCUUUGAAAGCCGAUGGAUACUGCAGGGCUAGAGUACGGAAGAGGCGAGUGGAAUUCCUGGUGUAGCGGUGGAAUGCGCAGAUAUCAGGAGGAACACCAAUAGCGAAGGCAGCUCGCUGGGACGUUACUGACACUGAGGCGCGAAAGCGUGGGGAGCGAACAGG
rnacentral:rRNA from 1 species